AGGACGAACGCUGGCGGCGCGCUUAACACAUGCAAGUCGAGCGAGAACCUGGCCUUCGGGCCUGGGGAAAGCGGCGAACGGGUGAGUAACACGUGGGUAACCCACCCUUGGUACCGGGAUAGCCCGAGGAAACUCGGAUUAAUACCGGAUGGCCCAACAGCUCUUCGGGGCGGUUGGAAAAGGUAGCUUCGGCCUCCGACCAAGGACGGGCCCGCGGCGGAUUAGCUUGUUGGUGAGGUAACGGCUCACCAAGGCGACGAUCCCGUAGCUGGUCUGAGAGGACGAUCAGCCACACUGGGACUGAGACACGGCCCAGACUCCUACGGGAGGCAGCAGUGGGGAAUCUUGCGCAAUGGGCGAAAGCCUGACGCAGCGACGCCGCGUGGGGGAAGAAGGCUUUCGGGUUGUAAAACCCCUUUCAGGAAGGACGAAGCCACUCGGGUGAAUAGCCCAGAGGGUGACGGUACUUCCAGAAGAAGCCCCGGCUAACUACGUGCCAGCAGCCGC
rnacentral:rRNA from 1 species